rnacentral:lncRNA from 1 species
CCCGUGUGGUUCAACAUCCUGCUGUGACGGGAAAAGCUUUACGGUCCUGUGCGACCUUCUGGUUUCCCCGUAUCAGCGGCUCCGGGGGUAAACUCAGUUGAGUUUCGUUCCGUGUAGAAUUAACCCCGCCGUUUUACAGUCUGAACCUGAGGAGAGGAGGAAAGAUUUCUUUUGAGGCGGUUUUUCUAGAGAGGCCUAUUCCGAAGUAAGCCUCAGGACGUUCACUAUAUCUUAACCCUAGGUAGAUGUUAUUUCUGUCACCGGGCGGCCUGGGAUCUUCUGUUUCUGAAAAGCUAAGGGAAAUGCCACGGUCAUAUUUAUUCUGACAANGACCACCAACAGAAUUGCAGGAUAUGGGAACGGCAUAAAAUGAAGGAUGUCCUACUGUCAUGUUAGUUGUUCUGCCACACGUGUUUUUGUUGGACCUAAGAACCCCCACUUUUUCAAAUAUAUACCUGUCAUCAGUAGCUCCCAGCAGGACCUUAAUGUUGGUGGGACAUCCAUGAAAUGUGAUCUCCAUUGAAGCACUGGCGUUGUGAUCGGAAUCCAGGAGCAGUACCAUCACUGUCCCCCAGCACAUCCAGAAUUCCCCCAACUCUGCUGGGGAGAGAUUUAUAGUGCAUUGUGAGGAACUGACAAAUUCUUCAAUGGAAAAUAAGCUGCUAGGAAUGUACAGAAAUGAAGCAGAAAAGAAAAUAUCCAAGAAAAACAGACAACCAGGGAAUUAUUUUCUUUAUAGUAAUUAUAUUUUCUUCCUUCAAGAAAAAAGCUCAGGAAAAAAGCUAGUUUUCUAAGUGGUAAUAUUGAAAUGUAAAUGUCAUAAGUAAUUAUAUGCUUUUGAAGUAAAAAUGGUGGACAAUAGCUUUUCAUUGCUUUUCCUGUAAAUUCCAGGGUUUUGUUUUGUUUUUGUUGACACUGCCAGCCCUAGUUGUCCCAAAUGAGCUUAGGAUGGGGCAGGACAAUCCAUUCUGCUCCCCACCCUGCCUUGCUGCUAAGGUAGCUACUGAAAGCAAUGGCUGUGGAUAGAAAUUUAGUAAUUAACUAGGGAGAACCCCUAAUCAGAAGUACAAUACAGUCAAACUGUGUACUUUCGCAUCAGUUCUAGCUUGGAAAUUUGUGUUAACUAACUCCCCUCAUGCUAGUAUAGGAUGAUUAAGGAUUGCACACUGUAUUUACUAAAAAUUAAGUCUGUGCAAUACAUCUUGUGC